AGGAAUAUUGGUCAAUGGACGCAAGUCUGAACCAGCCAUGCCGCGUGGAGGAUGAAGGUCCUCUGGAUUGUAAACUUCUUUUAUAUGGGACGAAAAAAGGGUUUUCUAACUCGUCUGACGGUACCAUAUGAAUAAGCACCGGCUAACUCCGUGCCAGCAGCCGCGGUAAU
rnacentral:rRNA from 1 species